CAGUGCAUAAUAUAUCCCAGUAGUUCCUCCUUCUGAGUCCAUUAUUGGGAUUCUUUGGACUUCAGCCUCCUUCCUCUCUCCUUCUAUGUUCAUCAUUAGUGUCUACUUAUUCUUCUGCUUUUUACCUGUGGCGCCCCUCCCAUCACUCGACAUUCUCACAGAUGUUGCCAUGGAGACUCAGGAUGUAACCAUGGCAGCCAGGCAAGAUCUUUUCCCAGAGGAGUUUGCCUGUGACAUUCAACCUGGCACUGGGGGAAAAUUGCAGGACUGGUGGAGCCUAUAUGAGGGAGAAAGUGUUGUUUUUUCUCCCUUAAAGAUACAGGAGAUAUUUUCCCCUCUCAACAGAAUCUAGGGUGAAGGGGAGGCCCAGGACAGAGAAAAUAUAUGUCUAGACUACCCUAAGGAAUGCUAACAUUUUCAGACCCUCUUGGGCAGUCUGGGAAAGCCUGUGAAUCCUUUCUCAGAAUAAUACUUUUAAAUUUAUAAGAUAAAACACAUAGGUAAAAUACAAAGGUAGAAGCAGAGCUGGAAAGAGAGGGAAGGGUGUCUUGCUUGGGCCCUUCUCCAAAAUGGAGGUCCCAGGAGGGACUUGCCUAUUAGAGAAGGGGGCCAGCAACAAUAGAUGGCUGUUCAAGGAUAAGAAGGCUUCAUGGGUGGGUGGAUGGAUGGUCAAGCGUGACAAAGUCGAUGAGGUGUAUUGUUGAAGUCUGGGCAGUCAGAAGCCUCUAGGAGGGGAAAGGCCUCACCAGAAAGUGGAAUUUGAAUUUAAGGGUUUUUUUUUUAAAACCUUAUCUUCUGUCUUAGAACUGAUACCAAAAUGGGAAGGGCUAGACAAUUGGUGGUCACAUAGCUUUUAACCCAGGUCCUUUUGUCUCUAGGCUUGAUUCUCUAUCCACUGAGUUGUCCCUUGAGUUUAAGUUCUGAAGAAGACUGGGGAAGCCAGGAGGAGAUAUCGUGAUUGCAACUCCUGCCUUCUUUCUAUCAGUUGAGGCCCAAAAGGUCUUGUUCCAACCUUUGAUGUUAACCUUGUGAGUAUCUACCCACCUCAUGUGUGUUUCCUGAAGACAACAUAUAGUAGGGUUUUGGCUUCUAGUCCACUCUGCUAUUUGUCUACGUUUUAUGGGGCUGUUAUGGGCUUCUCAUCCCAGUUGGGGGAUAUUGGAUGCCCUGGCUAAUGAGGCAGCAUCAUGGAAGCGCCUGGACUGAUGUAUAGCAAGAGUGGAGAGUUGGUGGCUCAAGAGUUCUACUAGCUGAAGAUCGGAGCUGGGGAGGUCCUCAGAGAUGAUCUACUUGAAUAACAACAAAACUACCAUCAUGAGAAAAUAAUAAUAAACAUUUCUA